CUAACCUGGCUCCAGCCGCCCCUACGGACCGCCCGCCGCCGCGCCGCGGGGCCCUCGAGGAGCUGGGUCUGCCCUGCCGAGCGCCGGUACCCGGCUGCUACCGGCACGGCAGCCGCAGCCGCCGCCAGGCGCGGCACUGCGGCGGCGCUCAGCCCUCAAGGACCGGUGUCCCCGGCUGGGCUCCGGCAGUCGCCGACAGGCAGCGCGGCGGGCAGCCCUCGGCGGGGCUGAGGGGCAGAGGGUGCGCAGCGCCUCGGAGGAGAAGGUGGGAACUGCCGGGAGCUCCGGGUGUCCGGUUCGGGGAUCCCUCCAAUCACCCUGCCAGAGCAGGAACACCUACAUGAGGCUACACAGGAAGGCAUCCAGGCAGGUUUUGAAUGUCUCCAGGGAAGGAGACUCCACAACCUCCCUGGGCAGCCUAUUCCAGUGUUCUGUUACCCUCACUGUGAAGCGUGGGAGAGAAGCAACUCUACAAUAACAAGGCCUCAACGUGGCGUAAAUCAACGGACCUAUCAGCAGUGAGACUUCAGCACGUGGACAGCUCGUGAACAUAGAUGAUAUCCAAUCAGUGAAUGCAUGAUUGGAGCGUGGACGCAUGAUCAGGAAAUAACUGCAUAUAUAAGGAGGCUUGUUUCUGUAAUAAAUGGCUCUAGCGUGAUUCACAUUGAAUUGGAGUGCAGAGUCCUUUAUUCACUCCAACAAAUGGUGACCCCAACGUGAUGCUCUGACCGGUGUAUCACUGCGAUCGGGGAAAAGCCUGGAGUGGCCCUAGGCAGAUCAGCUGGACUGAGAACCAGGUGGUGGCGUACUGAUGUUCCGCAGACAGAUUUGUUGAAGAAAUCACCAGAAAAGGCCAAGGAUCGAAGUGGAUUCCUGCGAAAUGGGUCAAGCCAUGGCUGAAUAAAGACAACAAAGAUUCAAUGGAUGCAGAUGGACAGCAGGGAGAUAAGUUGUGAGGACUAUUUCAGACGUAAACCAUGAAUCCUCAUUCAGUGUUAUAGAUGCUCACAGACCUGGUAGUCCAGAAGCCUAUUAGCAAGCAGGUGGUGUAUCUUCUGUGGAGAAUGGCAAUCUGAACAAACAGCAGGAGAGUCAAAAGGGCGAUAUUACACUUAGAUAGUCAACGCAAAAAUGAGGUAAAAUUAUGAGACAUUUCUACCAUAGUACCUACUGCACUCUUUCUCACUGAUCUAGCAGCUGGUAAAGCUUUAGGAGACAUAUCAAAGUUAAGCUAUUGGUCUUUUAAAUAGGUUAAUCUAACUUCUGAAAUACUAACUCAAUUAAUAGUAGAUGUUGAUGGUAUUAGACAUGUUGCUCCACAAAAUCACACAGUUAUAAAUGUUCUACUUUUAACAUUAGGAUUAUGGUUGUGCUGUAUUAACUUGUUUGAUUAUUCUAAAUCUAUUAAUAAGUGCUUUAGACAAACUAGAACCGUACAUUAAUAAGAUUGCCAUAGUAAAGUUAAGGUUUGACAUAUAGCCUGUAAGUUUUGGAAUAAGUGGGUAGUUGUUUGAUCUUAUUAAAUAAGGAUUAAUUGCAUUAUAUGUAACUGUAAUUAUUGUGUUAAUCAUGUGCUGUAUAUUGUAGUGUAUUUCAAAGAUGAUUCAGCGGGCUGUAAAUGGGGCCUGGCUGGUUCAAGAACAAAAAGGGGGAGUUGUGGAAGGGUUUCUGUUAGAUGGAGAUUUGUUACUGAACCAGCCAGGAAUUUCAAGGCCAACUCAAAGGCUGAAAACAGGACCUGCCGUGGGAGAGAAGCAACUCUACAAUAACAAGGCCUCAUUGUGGCGUAAACCAACAGACCUAUCAGCAGUGAGACUUCAGCACGUGGACAGUUUGUGAACAUAGAUGAUAUCCAAUCAGUGAAUGCAUGAUUGGAGCGUGGACGCGUGAUCAGAGAAUAGUUGCAUAUAUAAGGAGGCUUGUUUCUGUAAUAAAUGGCUCUAGCGUGAUUCACAUUGAA